AGCAGCCGCGGUAAUUCCAGCUCCAAUAGCGUAUAUUAAAGUUGUUGCAGUUAAAAAGCUCAUAGUUGAAUUUCGGGAUCAAUUAAUUGGUCGUGCCUAUGGUACGUACUGAUUUUAUUGGUUUCUCCCUUCUGACGAACCAUGAUGUCAUUAAUUUGGUGUCGUGGAGAAUCAGGACUGUUACUUUGAAAAAAUUAAGUGUUUAAAGCAGGCUAACGCUUGAAUACAUUAGCAUGGAAUAAUGAAAUAGGACGUUUGAUCCUAUUUUGUUGGUUUCUAGGAUCGACGUAAUGAUUAAUAGGGAUAGUUGGGGGCAUUAGUAUUCAAUUGUUAGAGGUGAAAUUCUUGGAUUUAUUGAAGACUAACUACUGCGAAAGCAUUUGCCAAGGAUGUUUUCAUUAAUCAAGAACGAAAGUUAGGGGAGUCGAAGACGAUCAGAUACCGUCGUAGUCUUAACCAUAAACUAUGCGACUAGGGAUCGGAUGAUGUUAAUUUUUUAAUUGUACUCAUUCGGCGCCUU
rnacentral:rRNA from 1 species